rnacentral:rRNA from 1 species
AACGCGAAGAACCUUACCUACUCUUGAAUCCACAGAAUUUUGCAGAGAUGCGGAAGUGCCUUUGGGAACUGUGAGACAGGUGCUGCAUGGCUGUCGUCAGCUCGUGUCGUGAGAUGUUGGGUUAAGUCCCGUAACGAGCGCAACCCUUGUCCUUAGUUACUAACGAGUAAAGUCGAGGACUCUAAGGAGACCGCCGGUGAUAAACCGGAGGAAGGUGGGGACGAUGUCAAGUCAUCAUGGCCCUUACGAGUAGGGCUACACGCGUGCUACAAUGGUUGGUACAAAAGGCGGCGAAACCGCGAGGUGGAGCAAAUCCUUUAAAACCUAUCGUAGUCCGGAUUGGAGUCUGCAACUCGACUCCAUGAAGCUGGAAUCGCUAGUAAUCGUGGAUCAGAACGCCACGGUGAAUACGUUCCCGGGCCUUGUACACCCGACUGUAC